rnacentral:rRNA from 1 species
UACGUAGGUGGCGAGCGUUGUCCGGAAUUACUGGGUGUAAAGGGCGUGUAGGCGGGGACGUAAGUCAGAUGUGAAAUUCCUGGGCUCAACCUGGGCGCUGCAUCUGAAACUAUGACUCUUGAGUGCUGGAGAGGAAAGCGGAAUUCCUAGUGUAGCGGUGAAAUGCGUAGAUAUUAGGAGGAACACCAGUGGCGAAGGCGGCUUUCUGGACAGUAACUGACGCUGAGGCGCGAAAGCGUGGGGAGCAAACAGG